UAUACCGUGAACUGCGAAUGGCUCAUUAAAUCAGUUAUCGUUUAUUUGAUAGUACCUUACUACUUGGAUAACCGUGGUAAUUCUAGAGCUAAUACAUGCUAAAAACCUCGACUUCGGAAGGGGUGUAUUUAUUAGAUAAAAAACCAAUGCCCUUCGGGGCUCCUUGGUGAUUCAUAAUAACUUAACGAAUCGCAUGGCCUUGUGCCGGCGAUGGUUCAUUCAAAUUUCUGCCCUAUCAACUUUCGAUGGUAGGAUAGUGGCCUACCAUGGUUUCAACGGGUAACGGGGAAUUAGGGUUCUAUUCCGGAGAGGGAGCCUGAGAAACGGCUACCACAUCCAAGGAAGGCAGCAGGCGCGCAAAUUACCCAAUCCCGACACGGGGAGGUAGUGACAAUAAAUACUGAUACAGGGCUCUUUUGGGUCUUGUAAUUGGAAUGAGUACAAUUUAAAUCCCUUAACGAGGAACAAUUGGAGGGCAAGUCUGGUGCCAGCAGCCGCGGUAAUUCCAGCUCCAAUAGCGUAUAUUAAAGUUGUUGCAGUUAAAAAGCUCGUAGUUGAACCUUGGGCCUGGCUGGCCGGUCCGCCUCACCGCGUGCACUGGUCCGGCCGGGCCUUUCCUUCUGGGGAGCCGCAUGCCCUUCACUGGGUGUGUCGGGGAACCAGGACUUUUACUUUGAAAAAAUUAGAGUGUUCAAAGCAGGCCUAUGCUCGAAUACAUUAGCAUGGAAUAAUAGAAUAGGACGUGUGGUUCUAUUUUGUUGGUUUCUAGGACCGCCGUAAUGAUUAAUAGGGAUAGUCGGGGGCAUCAGUAUUCAAUUGUCAGAGGUGAAAUUCUUGGAUUUAUUGAAGACUAACUACUGCGAAAGCAUUUGCCAAGGAUGUUUUCAUUAAUCAGUGAACGAAAGUUAGGGGAUCGAAGACGAUCAGAUACCGUCGUAGUCUUAACCAUAAACUAUGCCGACUAGGGAUCGGGUGAAAAAUCUUUUUGACUCGCUCGGCACCUUACGAGAAAUCAAAGUC
rnacentral:rRNA from 1 species